rnacentral:RNase_P_RNA from 1 species
GCAGCGAGCCAGACGAUCGCUUGCCGGAGCCGGCGUCAGCUGGUGAGGGUGAGAGGAAAGUCCGAACUCCGCAGGGCAGUGCGCCGGGUAACGCCCGGUCAGGGUGACCUGAAGGAAAGUGGCACAGAAAACAUACCGCCCGCCUUCGCCCGCUUCGCGGGCUUCGGCGGGGCGAGCCCACAAGGCCUGCUCCGCCGUAGCGGUUCCGAAAGGGACCGCGUAGGCGAGUAAGGGUGAAAAGGUGCGGUAAGAGCGCACCGCGCUUCCGGCAACGGGAGUGGCAGGCAAAACCCCGCACGGAGCAAGACCAAAUAGGGGGGCGCUACAGGACGGCCCGUCCGAAGCCUCCGGGUAGGUCGCUUGAUCCCGUCAGUGAUGUCGGGGCUAGAGGAAUGAUCGUCACCCCGUGGCGGCUGUCAUGGCCGCGCGGGGGACAGAAUUCGGCUUACGGCUCGUCUGCGACG